CCCUUAGAUGUUCUGGGCCGCACGCGCGCUACACUGACGGAGGCAGCGAGCAUGUCCUUCGCCGAGAGGUGUGGGGAAUCUUGUGAGUCUCCGUCGUGCUGGGGAUAGAUGGUUGCAAUUGUCGAUCUUGAACGAGGAAUUCCUAGUAAGCGCGAGUCAUCAGCUCGCGCUGAUUACGUCCCUGCCCUUUGUACACACCGCCCGUCGCUACUACCGAUUGAAUGGUCCGGUGAAAUCUUCGGAUCUGAGAGAUGUUGGAUUAAUUUCUGACGCCUUUUGGAAAAGUCGCUUAAACCUUAUCAUUUAGAGGAAGGUGAAGUCGUAACA
rnacentral:rRNA from 1 species